AUGAAGGACAGUUCAAAAAUUCAUUUAUGGAACGACAUAUGGCUGGCUAAUGCCAAUCUUCGAGAAUAAUACCUAGCCUUAUACACUAUUCCUCGCGAUAAAAAUAAUAUUAUUGCGCACGUGCUCAGUUCGUCUUCGCUGAAUAUUUCAUUCAGGCGGGACUUGAUUGGCCCCUGACUUAUGUCAUGGCAUAAUCUUUUAUCCUGACUGGAUUCGAUUAACCUGACACAAGGCCGGGAUGUUUUUUGCUGGAACCUUACUACAUCGGGGUCUUUCACAGUAGACUCUAUGUAUCAUGCGCUAAUGCAUUUUGAGGUACGAGUGAGUAAUAACAAGAAAAUUUGA
rnacentral:rRNA from 1 species